UACGUAGGUGGCAAGCGUUGUCCGGAAUUAUUGGGCGUAAAGCGCGCGCAGGCGGAUAGGUCAGUCUGUCUUAAAAGUUCGGGGCUUAACCCCGUGAUGGGAUGGAAACUGCCAAUCUAGAGUAUCGGAGAGGAAAGUGGAAUUCCUAGUGUAGCGGUGAAAUGCGUAGAUAUUAGGAAGAACACCAGUGGCGAAGGCGACUUUCUGGACGAAAACUGACGCUGAGGCGCGAAAGCCAGGGGAGCGAACGGG
rnacentral:ncRNA from 3 species